AAGGAAGGAGCACAGGAGUGAUCAAUUCAGCGUGUUCUACCAUGAAGUAUGAGGGUGCAUGUGCUGGACAGUUUCACCAGAAGGGUCAUCACAUUUGUCACACGGUCUGAAGCUACUUUCAGUGUUUCCAGUCCUGAGGCUCUGAAGGAGAAGAGAGGAACUGACAAACUGAAGAGAGUCUGGAAACAGGGUUGGGACUGUGGAGUAUGUGACAUGUGACGUGGGACAGCUGCAUUUGUCCAGCCUUAGAAAAAGAAAACUCUAGAGUGGUCUUGUUGCUGCCUCCAACUACCUUGGAUCCAUCUUUGAGAAAGUGGAGCUGCACAUUCCCAAGGGGUGAACAGUGGAAGACCGGGAGAGAUAAAGUGCAGCAAAGGAAAUUCCACUUGCAUGCAGAAAAGAAAGUUCAUUGGGAGCAUGAUCAUAUGGAAGCCCAGGUUUCCCAGAGAUUGUGAGAUCUCCGUCCUUAGAGAUUAUUCAAAAGUCAGCUGGAUGUGGCCCUAAGGAGCCUGAUCUGACUUUGAAUUCACCUGUGUUUUGAGACCAGAUGGCAUCCUGAGUUCUCUGCCAGCCUAAUUUCCUGUGCAGUUCUAUGAUCAAACUAGUAAAGGGGAUCAACCUUUCAGUGCUUACCCCCCAUAAUUUAUGAACUUUCCUGUACAAAGUUUGGAUUAUUGUUACUACCACAAAUGAAGACAAAAGAUACAUAAUAUAGCCAUAAUUGUUAAACUAAUUUACUUUCUGUGUAAAAAAAUAGGAAAACUAAAGAUUCAGCUGCGUAAAUAGCACAGAAUCCCUCAAAUUUUAAAGGAUAUGUAAGGUAAUGGUACAAAUUUACAUAACGUUUGAUCUAAGUUGAUAUCAAAUAUAAGAAAGACAUGUAUUUUGGGUGGUCCAGAUUCAAAAGAUUCAGCUUUUGAAAACAUUCUUCAGCUGUGUCAAUUGGAUGCUUUUAAAUCUCUAUAAUGCUGCAGAAAUAUCUCUGUACUCUGAAACCAUUUUUAAAACAUUUCCUGCCAGAACACAGGGAUACAGUUCAGACUUGAAAAUACCUUCUAACCUUAAAUAGCAGUAACUCCAAUAUUGCUAACAGCAUUGUCAUUCAUGUUGGUGCUUUUUACCAAAAUAUCCAGUGUAGCAUAUUUAUAGUGUAUCUACUAAAAUCCUAAAUCCUUAAGGGAUUAAAUGCUCUUAACUGCCAGAUCUAUGUCGUCAUGAUAAGUAACUGACUGCCAUAGGAAUGGAUUCUGGAAGAGGAGAUAAUUUUCUUUUGGCCUUUUCCAGUUGCCUGACCUUUUGGAAGAGUGUAGCCAAGGUGUUGUUACUCUCUUUUUAUUUCCUUCCCACCUGAGAUGAAAGGAAUGAACAUGCACUGAACCUACCUGUGUGUAAUGCUAAGAAAUUGUCACUGAGAAAGAAACAAGACUGAAAUCCAGUUAGGCCUGUCAUGGUCUUACACAUCAGCAUGUAUCUGAGCCAUAAAACAGGACUGGGCAGAGCCACCACUGUGUCUCCAGCUGUCACAAGAAAUUAAAGGGAACCUGUUCUUUGGAAGUAGAAAGACUUGAGCACUAGUUUUUAUAGAGUAUGGUGGUCUUGCAGUUAAUUACCAGCCAUCACAGUGGCAGCUCUGACAACUGAGAAAUGGGCACCAUAAUAAUGAGAUUUUAAUAAAUUUGUACUGUUUCCUGGUGACACUAAGACCAUUAUCUGGGAGUGGAACAUGAGUUCUUUUCUGUACUUAGUCAGGAGUGCAUUUAAACAGCUGACAUAUACCUGAUACCUGUUGAUGACUGUGUACUUGCUCACUUGUUUAUCUCACUUUUCUGGCUAGAGUUUAUCAUUCCCACUGGGAUUUCCUCCCCCACCCCCUUCUUUGUUUUAUCAUCCAGUGGAGAAUGAGGUGAGAUAAGUAGUUGUGAUGUCUGUUUCAUAGUAGACAAUGGAACUGUCCUGGUUAUAAUGGUUCAGAUCCAGUUUUAUUGAAAACACUCCCAGGUCUAUCUCCUGGUACUUCCUCUCUCUUAUAUGGAUGUGGAGGUGCUCAGGCAGGGUAGGCUCAGGUAUGCUGCAAGUGCUGCAUAGUAGGUUUUUAGCUGAAAAUAACUUUGACAAAUAGCUUUGUGGUUUUUCUCAGCUGCAAGGCCCGUGAAAUAUUUGUGCAGGGAGUGCGAGCCUUAUCAAUAGUGCUGACUCUACUGCCGUUUAUCAGUAUUGCGCAUGUAGGUUAAAACUGGUGUCCAUGAGUGAACGAACUCAAGCCUGAAACCAGUGACUGCCUGUACCUCCUGUUUACCCCAGUCCUUAUCAGAGAAGUUAUAAAGAAGCUGUUCUACCUGAACUCAUUCAGAUUAUAAAGAAGCAGCAAGAAAUACCACUUACCUUUAAUUGCUAAGAUGCCAGAUACCUGGACUUUGCACAUAGCAAAUCUCUUUUGGCUGCAACCUUUGCACGGCUCAAUAAAUAUGUCUGCUGCAUGGCACUGAGCUCAUGGAGUUAGUUACAGAAAAACAAAUAAAUUACUUGAAGUUAAUCAUGUAAAAUUAGCAGAAGGAAACACUGCUCUCCAGCAAAUGUAUGCUCUAAUUUGUUGAAUAAAGAAAUUACUUUAAAAAAGGAAAACAGUCUUUGUCUUUCAGUACUGUUAAUUAAUAGCAGCUUUAUAUAGCAAUGUUUGAAUUUUACUCAGACAUGAAAAUAAGAUAUAAAUAAACAAAAAAAAGUAGCUUUUGGAUAGAAAAAAAAUUUAAUACAUGCCAAUGUAAUGCCAGAUGCACACUGAUACACUUUUUGUAAAAUUAAAGCCAGAUAAGUAAUUCAAUUUGUAUUGUAUUUGUUUUUCACCUGAACUUUUUUUAAUUUUUUUUUUUCUG
rnacentral:lncRNA from 13 species